rnacentral:pre_miRNA from 1 species
GCGGCAGCGGCUGCAGGAACGGCGGCGGCCGGCGAGGGCGCCGCGGUGACCGAAGAGCCCCCUCCGCGCCGACACCGGAAGGAUCUGCCUGUCUAACAACGUCGUGUGGAUCAACCGCCGCACCGCCGUGCCGGCGCCGGUACCGGCCAGCGGGGGGGGCUCUUCGGUCACCGCGGCGCCCUCGCCGGCCGCCGCCGUUCCUGCAGCCGCUGCCGC